rnacentral:lncRNA from 1 species
GUACUUUUUGUGAUGUGAUGUAUGGGAGGAUAAAAAGGUAAUUGAGAAUAUAAGAAGAUGUAUUGAAAAUUGUAAUAAUAAUGUAAGCAAAUAUAUUUGAAAAAAUAAUCAACUGUUCAAACAAACCCGUUGUUGGACCAUACCGCAGCGAUCAAACUAACACUGUGUAAGGCUAGGGAGAAGCUCUGGCAGCAGUUAAAGUGCAAGUGUCAUCUCCUCAGUUGAUACGUUACUUGAGGACGAAUAAAGCACAAGACAUAAGACAUUUUGCCGAGUUGGAAGACAUUCAAAUGCUAAGAUCUUUAUUUAUGAAAUGCACAUUUAGCUUGAUGUAAUAUGAUAAGUAGAAGAUUUAGUAUUUAUGUUAUUAAGUUAGCGCAAUAUGAGGAAUAUUUAAAUUCUCAGUGUCCUAGGACACUUUUGUAAAACUCAAAAUGGAUCUUUUGCUCAAGUUGUAUAGCUUGUUUUUGAUAUCAACAAAUAUUUAUGACGUAUUUAAAUAGCUUGCGAGAAAGGAACUCCAUAAAUUAUCGAGAGGCAAUAGAUUAAUUUGUCGGGCUCCCUCGUGCCUACCCCACUAGGCCUUUUAUUUUAGGUUCCACCUUUAAUUUCGCAUCAUCGUCAUUAACGUUAAUCUCACAUAUUUUUAGUGGGUGUUUGGCGUGCAAAAGAUCUGCUGGUUUCACAUAGUUAACUUUAUUGAGCAAGAUCAAGAGAAAAUAAAUACUGUAACCUAGUUCACUCCGUACAAAUAAAGUAGCGGGGCAUCGAGGACUGCAGGCCGAUAAAGGAAAAGCAUGGAAGUAGCACAGUUGCAGAAACGAUUUCUGGAGUUGAUAUCAACCGUUUAUCAAGAGGUGAGUUGCUUUUACGGAUUUUAUUAAUUGGAUUUAACUUAUUUGAUCUUGAUUAGAGGUUUUUCCUUUUUCAUUUGAUUUGGCGUUAUUCGUUUGAUUGUCUUGGGGAAAAAAGGGGUUUUUGGAUGAUCAGUUCGUACAGCUUCAGAAACUGCAAGAUGAGAGCAACCCGGAUUUUGUGGUUGAAGUGGUGUCCCUCUUCUUUGAGGAUUCUGAGAAGCUUCUCAACAAUGUGGCGACUGCCCUGUAAGCUAUCUUUACAUUUGCUGAUUAGUCCUUUCAAGAUUAUCUAUUAAUAGCAUGUUAAUAGUCUUUUUAUUCGGUUGAUUUUUGAGUUGCGGUUUAAUUUGGUUUUUUCAAUGGCACAGUCAACAACCAAUUGUGGAUUUUAAGCAGGUCGAUGCUUAUGUCCACCAAUUCAAGGGUAGCAGUUCUAGGUAAAAAAAAAAAAAAGAUACUAAAAGUUUUCCUUUUUGUUGGUUUUCUUCCCUUACUUUUAAUUUUCUUAGUUCUUUACCUCCAUAUAUGCUUCUGGCUGGCUAGUAGAAUAGAACCGAAAAAUACGGACCACUUCUUUGUAAUUAGGUUAUAUUCCACGUCUUUGCUCUAGCUAAUUUUGAACUCCACUAAAUUGACUUCAGGAUUAACAUCUACUGACGCAAAUUACUAUGCAUUUUUUGAUGAUUAGUCUUCUGUCGUGGAAAAAUUCGAAUAUAUGACAAGGGAUUAUGUCUCUUCUAACAGCAUAGGUGCACAGAGAGUGAAGAAUGCAUGUGGUGCUUUUAGAAAUUUUUGUGAGGAAAAGAACCUGGAUGGGUGAGUUUUGAAUUGGCAGCUUGGCCUUGCUGUAUAGUGUUGUUGAAGUGACUGAGCACCUUGUAUGCAGGUGUUUGAAAUGUCUACAACAUGUGAAAAAUGAAUACGCUCUUGUGAAGAGCAAGCUUGAAUAUUUAUUUAUGGUAAGCGUUUGUCUUGAAGGAAUUUUUAUACACGAGGCUUGGUUAUAUUCUUCAAGCAUAUUUCAGUAGUAAUGUUGCUUAGUGGUUAAAAAUAUUGAAGGCAAUUUUGUCUAAAAUUCAACAGCAUUCUCUUUCAAAUUCAUUAUGCUGAUUACCCUCCUGUAAAAAACGAAUUAAAAGAAUGAAUAAGAUUGUUAAAGGUAGUAUGCUGAAAGGGAAUAUAGAAAGGCAAAAGCUUUUGACAUUCUCGUUUCUUUCACUCUCAUUUUGCGUCAUCCUUGGAUAUGGUUUAUGUGGUUCCUCAACCACUAACGAAAUGCAUAUUACCCACUUUACCUUUUAAUGCAACUGCUUGUCACCCGUAGUCAUAUUGAAUAAUCUAUUCUACUAUCUCUUUUGUUCAGCUGGAGCAACAAAUAGUGGCAGCUGGUGGCAUGAUACCCGUAAUUCCAUAAGUAUCUCCAUUUAGCCUACUCGCAAAAAGGGUAAGCUGCGUUGUCAUGUAAUCUGGCCCCCUGGUUAGAGGUUGAUAAGGAAGGUGCCCUGACUGUCAGACAGAGAUAAAUUGCUUCAGAAAUUAGAAAUUCUAUCAGCAAUGGAUUCUGCUUUUUGCCCAAAAAAGAAAAAAAAAACUGGAUUCUGCUUUCUAAUGUUCCACUGAAAUGUUUUUUUUUAAGUAAGCUUUUGAUGUUCCAUUUUCCCUUCGUUACACUCAUAUCGUGCAUUGAUUGUUUGAUCACUUGGCUAAGAGUUGCUGAGAGUUUUGUAUAGUGCCAAAUUACUUUUUAUUAAGAAGAUGAUUGGCAUUUUGUUUGGAAAUGAUCAUCCUGUUUGUUCUCUUAGUUUAGGACAGCAUCAAUUUUGAGGGCGGAGGUACACCUUUGCGAUUAAUCUUAUUGAAGCAAAUGUCUGGUUCAGGUGUUAGUCAAUUUAAGUGCUGUACUAAUCUGGUUUAAGAAAUUGUCAUUCGACGAGUAACAUAGAGGAAGGCUAAAAGAAUAGCAGGUUUAACUUCUGCCGUCACCACAUUCAAUUUCCAGAAGAUUUAACAAUAAAGCCGUGUGGCAUGCUGCUCUGCAGAUUGCGUUUCCUAGCUCCAUUGCCUUUUUAUGCUGCUGGCAUCCUUCUAUGAUGGAAGUUCGGCAUGGCACUUUUGUUGGUGUAGCUGGAAGUAUGAACCUGGUUAUGCUUUGCUUUUGUGAAUUUGGCUUGCCUUAGUUCUUGCAUUUUCCCUCUUUCCUCAUGGGCGCUGAAGAAAGGCCUAGGACUACAAUGUGAAGACAAAACCUACAUCUUCUUAUUGAUCGCAUCUUCAGAAAAUGGAAUGUGCCGACCUCUGCUGGGAGCUGUUACUUUGUUGCGAUAAGUCUGUCAUUACAUAUUUCUUGGCCUGCCUUAGUUUGUGUUGCUCUUUUAAAUUUCUAUGGCAUAAGUUCAUUUCAUUAUAGUGAAAAUAUACUCACUCACCCAAAAAUGGCAGCUCAAAGUGGAAGCUAAGGUUGUGUUUGGAUUGCAUAUUCCGUCAUUUUUCAUGGAAAAAUUACUGUAGCGAUUUGAUAUAUGUGAGGGAAAAAGGCGAUAGGGAAAUGUGAUCACGGAAAACGAUAAUAUUUUUCGACAGAAACAAGCAAUCCAAACAAGGCUUUUGCGCGGUUAGUGCUUCCCUUGAUGGAAACCAGUAAUUAUAGUUUGUUUGAUUUUGUUGAAUUGGCAACAAGGCUUUGGGGGAAUUGCGAAAGUGACGUUUUUUCAACCUUUUGUGAUUGUGACGACAUGGUUAACCCCUUCUUCCUGGAAGUACCCAACUAACAUUUUGUAAUUGUGACGACCGUUGCUUCGUCAAUAAGAUUGUGCCUUCUCCAAGGGGGAGAUGAUUCUUUCUUUUCCAGUCGGUGCGUCCAGCCUCUCGAGUAGAACGUUCCCAUGUUUCCAAAGCCCGAGAGAAGCCUAAAACUGGGUCCUUUUUUUUUGUUUCAGAAGGUUAAAUUCACCGCCACCGGACGUAUGAUAGAGAAUAGGGAGGAAGUCACAUGCUGCUGCUGUAUAUCCUCCUCGGCUCUUGCUCAUGGUUUUUAACCGUGAGGAUUUUCAGUCUGGAAUUGUUGUCUCUUCACCGUCACCAUCCAUCAUCAUCAUGUUGAGAUUUCUCCUCCCAUAAAAAUGAAAAGUUUUUGCCUGUGGAUUCUGGUAGUCAAGUCGCAUGCAAGAGCUGUUUGGCAAAACAGAUACUACUGCCGCCACUACUACUACCAGUACCAGUACCACUGAGGUGAGGUGCGUUGUCCCGCAGUUGUAUUGUACGUCACAACUAACCUCUCUUACGGUUACGGACGGACUCCUUUGGUGCUUCAUAUUCUAUGUAUGUGGAUCUAUUGUUGUUGGGCCCGGAAAAGGAGGUUCGCCAAUUGGCAAGUACUACAGGAGGACCACCAAAAUUUGGUCCCCAAGCCCCGAAGAUUAAGAAUAAUAGGUUUGUUUGGAUUGAGCAUUAUUUACCCAAUUUUAUUUGUUUAAAUCAUCAUUACAAUUUUCAAUACACCUUUUUACCUUUCCAAUUACCUUUUUAUCUCACAUACAUCACAUCACAAAAAGUGCUACAGUAAAAAUAUUCCAAAUAAUCCCAAAUAACUUACAAUCCAAACAAACCUAAUGUGAUGCUACCAGACCGCAUCGCUGAUUGGACCUCAAUGUUACCACUUGCCAAUCCCAUUUUCGUAGAGAUAGAUGGAUCUCAAUUGGAUGCUUGGCGGCCGUCUGCAAAAUGUAAAACCGCUUGCGGCCCCGUUAAUUGGGGACCGACUUUGCUCACGAUCAGUAACGCUGAUUACCCGCUCAAGAAUGAAGAAUUGCUCACGAUGCAUCAACUACAAUUUUUUCCUCUUAAUUAAAUUAAUAGUCGUUCGUGUGUAUUUAUUUCUAAAAGUUGAGUAUGCCUUGGGGAAAAGGAAACUUUGGAGGACUUUGGGCUCUUUGACCCAUGCUAUUAUUAUCUACUAUCUUAUAAAGUCCAUGUCGUUGCGUGAAUGAGAAGGUUUCGUGCUUGAACUCAACGGCAACGCUGCAAGCAAUAAGAUGAAUGUUAAAAGAAUUGGGACCAUAUAUUAUAGGAUGGCAAACCAUUUGACGGAUGGUUACUUCAGUACUACUAACUAAGAGUAAAGUUUUAGGUUCCCACAGGCCCCACCAGCUUAAGAGUAAAUUUUUUUUUUUUUUUCUGAGAACAGGAAAAAGAUUAAAGAAGAUCGAACCAAUACAAAAAUGUGAAAAAAAAAAAUUUAAGAAUAAAACAUAAAACCGAAAUCCAAGUCUUGGCAUUUUUCAAUGAUUUUGUGGUGACGAAACGUUUGCUGCUGCUUUAAAAGUUUAAUGAGGAAGAACAUCUUUCCCUCUAGACUUCCAUUCGCCUGUAGACUUUUCAAUUCAUUCGAAACUUUCCUGAGUUGGAGCGGCCGUUUUCCGUCGAAAAAUUACGUCAUUUUUCGUAAACAUAUUUUCCUAUUACCUUUUUUCCUCACAUACGUCAAAUCGCUACAGUAGAAAAAUGAUGAAAAAUGCAAUCCAAACAGGUUCUAAAAAACUUUUGUUUGGCGCUCCACCAAAUAGGCACGUACUUUAUCAUUGAAAGCCUAUUCAAUUCGGUCAACAACAUUUCCAGGGUGAGUGAUUCUUCUAAUUUCUAAACUCGGAACUGGCGAUUAGAAAAUGUGGGCUAAUUUAUGACUGAUCAACUUAAAUGUGGGCUAAUGUAGACAUGCAAGUGAUAUUUGCACUUCGGGUUCGUAGCACUCCGUUCUAACAUUUUAUUACGUGACAAAAGAAUGGAGUUGCAGUAAAUUAUUUUAGAUUAAAUCUUAUAUAUACUGAUUGAUUCACGGUAUAUACACUAUCAUGGUUGGAUGCACGAUAUAUAUAUAUGUAAAAUUUUAAUUUGGAUUAUAUGAAUUUUUGUAAGCUGCGUAGCUUCAGUAAAAAAAAAUAUGUAUAUAUUUGACCUCUCACUGCACCGCACUGGUAAAUACGGAUAACGAAAGCGGGGCGGGGUAAGUAGGUGAUCAGCAGCUGGACGAAAGAGACACCGCACCUAAGCACAUAAAUACACACAUUCCCUGAUUUUGAUUCUGGGCUCAAAAUCUGUGCAAGACCAAACCAGAACCCCAUCCAAAACUAUUCAUCCCUGAUAGUGCAAUAAUUGUAUCGUAGUAAUGCAUCGCCUUCUCCCCCAGUCCUCCUCCCCCCAAAAAAAAAAAACUCAGUCCCCACUCCCUAGAAUUUUAGCGGAAGGAUGAUGAGGAUAGUGGCUGCGGUCGUUGGGUUUGGUGCAAUCAACAAACACGCAUCUCCAUACGCACCACUCCCUCCUCACUUGGCCGGCCCUCCCUCUUUGCGCAUGUCUCCCAUGAAAUUCUUGCCGUGCCUCCAUAUUAUCCAAUACAUCCCAUGAUCCCGCCCCAAGGCAGACUAAAAUUACUAGUACCACACUCGGUAUAAUGAAACAAAUUUAAGAAAGAAACAGACGGCGUGUAAUAUUGGAGGCAAUUGUAAGAAACUGUUUAAUCAUGACAGAUCACUUGUGGUGGGGGAAGGUCAGUUUAAUGAACCGAUCGAAGGGCAAAUACUGUCAAAGAGCUGCGGUCCAUGCAUGGAUGGCUGCAGGCUCCUUUUUAUCCCUGCCUGCAUUAAGGAAACGGCAGCUAAAAGCAAAGGUUGGCAAAAUUCAAAAGGGAAGAAACCCUUUUCGAUCAAGGAGCUUUCAUUUCCAUUGUAGUAGUAAUUAAUGUUUGAUCUUCACCUGUAUGCCACUACUUGGAGUACGUGUUUGAUUCUGCCGCUUUUACAACCACCUUGUUUGCUGGAGCUCAUGAAUAUGACUACUACUUUCAUUCAAAUACUAGUCUGUCUUUUGUCGUUCGUUUGUUGAGACUAAUCAAAGAUAUGAUGAUAUGCAUCCCGUGGCCGUGGGGCGGGACCAGAUGGGCAUAUGAUUAUUUAUGACAUCCAUAUGGAAGUUGGAACCAAUCAGCUUUUCUGUCUUCCUUGCUACUAGUACAAUUUAUAACUCUUCCUCCUCGACUUGGUUGGCUCACUUUAGGGUUGAAUUUCGUUUCAUUUUUUUACACCGAAACUACUGAUCACAAGAACCAAAAAUCCAUUCCCGUACUACGCAAUUCAAUUUCCUGAGCCCAAAUUAAUUAGCCCUUCUGAUUGAUUUUUUUUUUUUCUGUCUUUUUGGCUAUGUGGUAAUUUCUUGUCCCUUGGUUAAUAAUAAUAGGCUGUGAGUUCGAUACUAGUAUACUGUUGAUGAUAGAAAAAAGAAUAGUAAACUGUUCAGUCUUUCCUUACGCUGAGGAUGACCAUAAAUUCCGAAAAAAGAAAAAGAAAGAUGUGCUCAGACAGCACAUCCCACCGCCAUGCCCAAAAUGCUUUAAUUUCCUGAGAAUGAUUAAAGGCAGAGUAAGUUUGGUCCGUAAAGCAAAUGUCAUUACCUAAUACUAGCCGUAUUAGGUGAUACAAAAUGAUGGCAGAAUUAUUAAAAGUGGGGAUGAACCAUGAGCUAUCAAGUUGAUAUUACUGUAUCACCAUGCUGCACUAGUAGUAUUUUAGUAUAAGCUUUGGCCACUCUUUAGCACAUUUUCCUACAUUUCCGUGUCAAAAAGAAGUGUGAUCUAUUUUUAAUUUAUGAUUCAUUGGCGUUCUCUUUUUUCCAACUCACGAAACAAUCUAACAACCCCUGUCCCCUUGCUUUUGGUUCCCAGCAACAAGGUGUCAAUUAUGUAUCGUGCCUGUGUUCUUUGAAAAAAAAAUUUUAAUCCAUGCCCCCCUGCCUCGCUCCCUAAUGAAUGAGAAGAGUUUUCUUUUUGGACCAUCUGUCCAGUGUAGGACCCAAAUGCUUGCGGAGACGGCCCAAGAUUGUAAGCGGACUACUUCGGACUCGAGACUCUGAAAAGACUUUUAUUACCAUUAAUAGUGCUCUUUUCUUUUUGACCUUUUGGGAUGGUUAUGAAACGUCUACGCUGUGCGGUUGAUGUUAGUCGGAAGGCCGGGACAGUACCAUUGCAGCAAUAGGCGGAGGCAUUUUUAUCCUGUGACAAAAUGUUAUAGCGACGGAAAAGAAGAAAAUUUGGCGUUAAUCCGGUAUUAGAUCUUAACAUAUGUGUGAAACCGGAUGCAAUUGUAGCCCCCCCCCCAAAAAAAAAAAAAAAAUCAAUCCCUGUUUGACUAAAAAGUAUGACCAAGGACUAGAAAGACUUGAGCCCCAAGUCAUCAUCCGAUGCUUUUUCAGGCCUCUGAAAAACAGAGCCUGAGGAUAGAAGCUGGCAAGAAGGAAAAAGGGAUCAGAGCUGCUCUAGGGGAGAGGACAACAAGAAGAAGGCGUUGAGCGGAGCGGCGGGGACCAAUGGCACCAGUGGUUUCGGCGAAGAUGUUUUACAACCUCCCCCACCCGCGUCUCAAAUCCUCUGUCCCUGAAUAAUUCUCUAUCCUGUACGUCCCAAAUUUGCGUAGUUAUCACGUGUAUUGAUAUAUUGAUAAAUCAAUUAAACUCAUAACAAACGAGUCAACAAGUCAAACAUUGCUUCAAUUAUCAACGUAUCAAUACACGUGGCAGCUGUAUAAGCAAGAUUAACAAGUCAAAUUGAAUGAUAUAUAUAUAUAUAUAUAUAUAUAUAUAUAUAUAUUUGCAAAUUAUGCUAACCAAGCGGACCCUUAUCUCCUUUCUCACAAAAAACCCUGGGGAUAAUUCUCAAAUUGUUGCAUGCUCAUGAAAAAAAGACACAGAAAUGAAUAAAGUUUUUUGUAUUCCUGUGGCCUCAAAUGUUUAAUUAUUAAGGGAAGAAGGAUGGAUCAAUUGUGACCGGAGAAAAAAGGGGGGAAAAAAACGAAAGAAAAAGAAGAAAGGGGGCCUGCGCCAGGGUUUGAUGAUUGUGAGUUGUGGGUGGCGUGCCUGUGAGAUAGCGUUAGGCAGCAACCUUGGCCUUGGGGUCACGUGGUCCUAGUCCCAAUCACCCUCCCUCCCUUCCCCAAAGCUGGACUCCGUUGAUCCGUGUCUCUCUCCGAAUCUGCACCCCAAACAAUCAGAGAUGCUCCACCUAGGCUCGGACAACCGUUUAGCUUCCCGAACCUCUUCCCAAUAAACAAACAAAACCUGCCAUCUAUAAUUUUAAUGGAAAAUAAAACUGGAUAGAAGAUAUAUAGAUACGCUGCUAUACUAAUACUAUACUGUAGAAGAUUAAAAAUUAGUAGUAUAAUAUAAUAUUAUUAUUAUUAUUAUUAUUUUAGCAGCUUAGUCUGCCGUAGUUAGUAGCCGUGGUCAAUCGCCUCCCACCAUACUCCAUAACCCCAGCGCCAACAACGCCCAACCCCCUUUCCCUUGCAGACCCAUCUUCUCCCACAAGCCAACAGCUACCCAGACACAAACUUCCUCAAUUCUCUUUUUCCUCCCUUGUCCCGGAAGAAUCAAGCAACUGACCAAAAGCCGCAUCCCUCCCGGUCCGCCCUUUCUUUUCUCAGAAGCUACUCUUUCAUUUCUCUAUAUUACUUACUAGUACACUUUCCUUUUUUCUUCCCCUCUGCAUGUUGUCUCUGUCGAAGCUUUCACGGCCCUCAAUUUUCCCACACGAGAAAUCGCUGCUCCUCACGGAAAAGCAUUUCCAAAAGGUCCCGUUUCCCCCUUUAUAUAACCCCAACACCCUUGCUGCAAUCUCUCUGUCCAUCUUUCACUGAGAAGUAACAAUGACGGGGCUCCCGCUGACAGAGAUUGCUCAGUCCUUGCUGUUGUUGGCUAUUUUUGUUCUCCUCCAUUCUUGUUUGGUAGCCCAUGCAAUUUUAAACCCUAUUGAUUUUCUGGCUUUACAAUCUAUUCGGAAGAGCUUGGAUGAUUUGCCCGGUUCCCAUUUUUUCGCGUCCUGGGAUUUUACCUCCGACCCCUGCAACUUCGCCGGAGUGUAUUGCGUUGGAGAUAACGUUAUCGCCCUGAAUCUCGGCGACCCUAGAGCUGGUUCCCCUGGACUCACAGGCAGGCUGGACCCUGCCAUUGGCAAACUCUCCGCCCUCACCGAAUUCACCGUUGUUCCCGGACGGAUCAUCGGCCCGUUGCCGGAAUCCUUAUCCCAGUUGAAGAACCUCAGGUUCCUUGCGGUGAGCCGGAACUUCAUCUCCGGUCAGAUUCCCGCUACUCUGGGUCAGCUCCGAGGUCUGCAUACCCUCGACCUUAGCUUCAAUCAGCUGGCCGGAAGCAUUCCUUGGUCGGUGGGAGCACUGCCGGCGCUGUCCAACGUCAUUCUCUGCCACAACCGUCUCUCGGGUCCGGUCCCUCCUUUUGUUUCGCAGACAUUAACCCGGCUAGACCUCAAACAGAACGAUCUUUCGGGGUCCUUGUCCCCGGCUUCGCUUCCUCCAUCCCUUGAAUACCUCUCGUUGUCGUGGAACCGAUUCGGCGGUCCGGUGGACAGGCUUCUCAGCGGUUUAAAUCGGCUGAAUUACUUGGACCUGAGCUUGAACCAAUUCACCGGCUGCAUUCCAGGUCGCUUAUUUUCCUUCCCAAUCACCAACCUCCAAUUACAAAGGAACUUAUUUUCGGGUCCGGUUGAACCGGUCGACCAGGUGACAAUUCCCACCGUUGAUCUGAGUUACAACAGGUUAUCGGGUGACAUAUCCGCACUCUUCGCGACGGUACAGAAUUUGUAUCUGAACAAUAACCGGUUCAUGGGUCAGGUGCCAAAUAGCCUGGUGGAUCGGUUGUUAUCGGCAGGUAUACAGAUACUGUAUCUACAGCAUAACUAUUUAACAGGGAUCGACAUCAAUCCGGGGGCUGAGAUUCCGGUGAGCAGUUCGCUGUGUCUGCAGUACAAUUGCAUGGUGCCCCCACUGCAAACUCCCUGCCCGCUAAAGGCUGGGAAGCAGAAGACCAGGCCGACUGAUCAGUGUAUCGAGUGGAAGGGUAAAACCAGGAAUUAGACCGUCGUCGUGUUUAUUUCACCAAUGGGCAAAAUUUUUGCAGGCUCUCUAUUUUUGGUCAAGCCGUGACACAUUUUCUUUUUUCUUUUUUUUUUCUUUUUUUUGGGGGGGUUUGGGAGAGGGGUUGUAUCAUGUAUGUGUGGGGGAAGUGGAAGAAGGCAAAUAGGAGAUUCAUUUUAUUUAUUUUUUGUGAUGAGUAUAUUAAUUGGGGUUAAAGUACUGAGCAGUGGUAGUACUCAACAAGUAGCAGAAAAAUAAAAAGCAAAGCAAAAUGUGGAUAAGCAGAGAAACUACUACUACUACUAAUAUUUAUUAUUUUUUUUUGUAAAUUUUUCGGGAUAUGGUACUUCUCCGAUGAUAAAUAGAGUUGAUGGGAGAGAACAACUGGGUUUGUUUUCGUUGCGACCUCCUUCCUUGUUACUAUUUGUUUGUUGUAGGAUCAAGGACGAUGCUUUGUCAGUCUGUCGUUAAUUUUUCUUUUUUAUUUUGGGAUUCAGAACAUCUAUCUGACUUGCUUUUUACUGAGAAUGUUCCCCAUUAAUUGUCGUUGUUGACAACGGCUACUUAUACAUAUGCUGGUGGUACUCUCCUUAGUUCCAGGGGACAACGCACUUGGAGUUGGAACUAAACCUUUUUUGUCAUUUGUUCAGGAUGCACAUUUUGGUGGUGGUCUGACAUACAUUACCGUUGAUAUAUAUAUAUAUAUAUACAUCAUAUAGGAUUUUUCCGGCUUCUCCUCGUUUUCCCAUUAGUUGGUUUGUUUUGUUAGAAUGAGUUUUGCAUUUGGACUUGGUAAUUACGACGCUGUCAUAUUGUCUGGUUUUUUGAUUUAGGAAGCCAGACUUAUAAAGUAGUGCGUACGUGCUUGCUUGCUUGCUUGUGUUUUGGGCAUGAGAUGAUUUCGGGUGCUUUCAACGCUUUUAUAUGAUGGAGACUGACUGAGUAAACAAGGGAUCUUCUCUAAAGCGAAAGGAGACUCGCGGCACUAGUUGAGAUCUUAGGAUGGAUUAAUUAAUGAUUUUCCUGCGCCCUUUCUUGAUCCACCACAUUGCGGAGAGUCAAAAAGGUUCCGAGGCUGCGUUGUCUAAUCUCUUUUUGUCCUAAUUGAACCCCAAAUGAUUGUGGGUGCUACUUACUGGUACACUACUGUUAUUUGGGUCCUACCCUUCACUACGUUGGGUCAGGGCUGUUCCAACACUUUUUGUUGUCCCCACAUCCGAUUGCAAAUCUACAUCUUAAGUCGAUGAUUUAGUCUAUAAUGUUCACGAAGUGACAUUUGGGGAAAAAAAAAAAAGGGUCUACAUUUCACCAAAACCUAUUCUUUCGCAUUUAUAUAUUUUCUGUAAUUAAUUUUCUUACAUUUAUAUAUUUUUCCUAAUUAAUUUUAUAUUUAUAAAAGUCUAACAUCUGGAAUGCAUUUUAAUGAUAAUAAAAAAUGUGUGUUAGCAAAUUUCAAUUCCAUGUCUAAGGGCCUAUUCAGAUUACUAUUUUUAGGAGUUUUUUUUUUUUUUUUUUGUUGGUAGAAAAACAUACUUUAGCGAUAUCGUAAAAAGGUGAUUGAAAAAUAUAUUUGCAAAAAUCGUAAAAAAUUUUUCGGCGGAAAACCACAAUCCAAUAGUGGAUAGAACUAAGGGUUGCUUACAAAAUACCUCCACCAAAUAUGCCUCACUGUUUAAUUUGAUCAAUCAGCUUUGUGAAGUUUUUUUUAAAAAAUUUUCCCAAUGUAAUAAAAUCAAUUAAACCGUCCAAAGUUAAAUAUGUUGACAUGCACAUUUUUCCCACAAAAGCACUAGUUAACACUCAACAAAUUUUCCCAUUUUGCACUUUCAAACUUGCAUCACUUUCAUGUUCUAAAUUUUCAUUUUAGACACUAUGAACUCUCAAUUUUUGUUGAUACUUGAACGUCCCCAAGCAUAAGAUCAUACAAAUCAAAGACAAUAUGCUUAAAACACCAUUUAAAAAGGUGCAAAAGGGAGACCAGGCGGUACAAAUUAAUGACAAUUAUUAUUGUGUAUCAAUCAAUUAAUGAGGAGGUGUCUCUACUCCCCUGCACAUGCACGUGCACGUGCACGUGCACUGGAGGUGGGGUUGUUGGGGGAUGCGAGACGAAACGAAAUGAAACAUUUUUGUACACAAAUCACAUUAAGUUUAGGUGAUCCAUCUAUGUUGGAAGCUUUUUAGAGAGACACAUAAUUGCAUACACACAACGAUCCUACCGCGUCUUUCAAGAGUUGGAGAGAGAGCUAUUGCAGAUUCACCGGAGUCUUUCUUUUUCUUUAUAGUAGUACCACUCCAUUACAAAAUAGUUUCACAGUUCUUGAAAUCAACAAAAUGCUUACAACUUCUUUUUUCGAUAAUUUCUGUGCAUAUCUCUCGAUCUCUUUUAUUUUCUUCUUUUUAGCUCGGUAAACCAAGUGAUUUACUGAUUCGCAUUAAACCCAAAUAUUUUUUUUCAAAAAAAAAAAAAAAAAAAGCUAAACUUCCCCACCAAAUGUAUUUGAAUAAAGUUCAAUUCUAACCGAUGUACACAGAGACUUAUCGUUAACCCUACGCUGUGUUUGGAUUGUCAUUUUUGGAAGAAAAAUUGUUACGUUUUCCGUGAACAGAUUUUACCUCACAUAUAUCAAAUCGCUACAAUAAUUUUUCUAUAAAAGAAAUAUGAAAAAAUGCAAUCCAAACAAUCUUGCAGCAAGAAGACCGGACGCGUUCAAGAUGCCAUUGAGCGAAACCUCUAAUUCUCGUUUGGGUGUGUGUGAAACUAGAAUUUUGAAUUUUACACAAAUUAAACUUUAUUUAAAUAGGAUGACAUUUCCAUUCCAUACCCCAGUUGAAACUCCCGGAGCCCAUUAAAAUGGCAAUAGGUUGAGGAACUCCAGGAGGGAUGUUCCACGGAGAAAACGAAAAGGCUAUUGAACAAAAUCAACUAUAAUUACGGGCAGCCACGCGGGAUACCUACAACUACAAGACAUCUCAUCUGUGGAAUCUUAUGAAAACCCCUAGACAAACUUUUUCAAAAUAUUUAGAUGGUUCAAACACUGACCUGGUAUUUACUUGCAUUCAAGAAAACCACUUACAACAUUGAUUGUUACUUGCUGAAAUCCGUUCCCCACUCGGCAACUCGGGAGAGCCUUCAGUGGAAAUGUCCUCUUCCCAGCUGCGGCCUGUUAGACACCGGCCCCUCUCCAUUCCCAGGGAAUUCCCAUUUCGCGACGUCCCCAUCCCAAGAAGAGCUGACAAGCAUGGGGUAAUUAGGAUGCCAGCUACAAUCCCUUAUAGCUGAUUUAUGGUACUGCAGUUUUGCAACUUGAGCUCCGGUGACCUAAAUAGCACAUCACCGUCAAUCAGAGAUAAGAAUAUUUGCAAGGAGUUGAAGGUCUGUAACAGCGAGAUACAUGAUGGAAGAAUCUUUACAACAUCUCACCGUUAAAAAAAAAAAAAAAAAAAAUCAUACGUCACAAAAUUGACUUCAGUGGAUGUUACAUCGGUCAUGUUAUGGACCUUUUGACUAUGGACACUUGUUUUGGUUUUCCUUUCUUCAGUCUAUUAACACUAGUAAAGUAUAGUUGACCAGCUGAAAGUUCAACAAGAGUUGGUAUCCAUGCCAUUAGUGGCAUAGAAACAAACGAAAUGAGAUCGAUGCAGAGAAUUUCACUACCCAGAAAACUAAUUUCAGAGUCAAUGAAGUCAAAUGAUCAUCAUCCAAAACAUGAAGCAGUCAAGCCCAGCAAAAAAUAAUCGCCCAUCAAAGCCUAUACUUACCAAAUCGUAUACAUAUACGCAGGAAUCGUAGGAGCCAGUGUAAAUAUAUUUCUGCCCGGUGCUGAAACAGAGGAUUGUGCAUAGCAUGUUAAUUUGAUACCCAGAUGAACUAACUUUUACCUAUUCUAUCUAACCAAAUUAAACCAAGAAUGCUUGCAAGACUGUAAGUUGCUUGUGUUAACUUUACCUAUGAUCUGGGGAGAAGUAGCAGCGAAUGAGAGUACGUAGGACUGAAUGACCUCUGUAUGUAGCCACUGAUUGAUCACCUGGAUGCUUCAGCUCUCUAGCCUGUGGGGGGUAGUCCAUCCAUCUGUAGUCCCACUGAGAAUUCCUAAAGCCAUGAUCCCUGAAAGGAAUACCAAAACUUUGAUCUCUGACCCCAUGCAAAACUCAGAACAAAAUCAGGCAGAGACAUGUUUUAGACAUCAAGAAAAAAAAAAAAGUUUGGUAUAGCUGAAUGACACAUAAAAAGAUGCUAGAAUUAUUGAUAUCAAUUUCGAUAUUUAUGCUACUUCCAAAUAACAUUUCCCACUUCAAUCAGUUUCAGGCAUUAAAAUUACAGAUUAAUGCUAUCAAAGCAUGCAACUAAAACAUGCAAAUUCAACAGAUGAUACACAAUACAAGCGUCGUAAGCAUGUCAUUUAUUUGAUAUUCUAAAGCAGCCAAAGGUUAUGCCAAAAGUAACUUGAGAUCAACAAAAUGGAGAUCGACAUAUUCAUAGCAAAAUUUCUGCAGGAAAAUAGUGGUUAACAACCUAAUAUCUUGCAAGUUCAAAAGUUCCGCAUAUUCAAAAAAGGGAUAAUGCUAACAAGAGAUAAGGACUCCACCCCAUUCAAACUAUUUUUCCGAGCUAAAAACUUAGUUUUAGCUUAUUUAAGUGGCAAAGUUUUUAAUACCCAGGACCAGCCAUCAAUGCACUUUGGAAAUCAACUCUUGCUUUCGGAAACUGCAACUACAACUACUCUAAAUCUUUUAACAGCUUGUACUGGAAUCAAUUUCUAUGCAGCUUUCUAGAAACUGAAACAAAGGAGAAAAAGUUUAUUUCAACUGCCUAGCAUGUAAUAGGUGUUCAACAACAAAAUAAUAAAGAAAAAUUGAAUAUCAUAGAGGCUUCAAAUUUCAUGAUUAUGAAAUAAGCAGUUGAUGUUUGAUAGUUAAGCUUGGAAGCAAUGCAAUUAGAAUAAGCACAAUGACAAUAAGACGUUAAGAUAUCUUGAAUUCCCCUAUGUGUAUUCGAGUUAGAAAAGUAACACUAUAUCCAUCCCCUUUGAACAUAAUAAAGCUGCUUAGGAAAAUCCUAGUCCACACUCCGUCACAGCACAUGAACAAAGAAGAAAAGAAGUUGCAAGGUUCAUACACGAGUCCCUGAUGUAAGCUUAGCAAAGCAUGAAAGUGAGCAUACCGAGGGCUAUUAGGGGACAUUUUCCGUAUAUCCCAAAGUUUAAUUGUCUGGUCUUUACCAUUUGAAAUGAAAUACCGACCAUCUCCACGACUGUCAAGAAACGUGAUGCCUUCUAGGUGUCCAAUCAGGACACCUGCUGGCUUUCCUUUUGCUCUGAAGCAUCGUCUGUCCCAAACCUAUAUAAAAAAGAGGGUGGUAACAAUUCCUUAAAACAACAAACAAUUGAAAAUUUCAUUUCUCAAUUUGACUUCGCAAGAUGUCCCUCUAAGUAUAUAGUCAAUUCGGAGAUCCGAUUCUUAAUAUUGCUUCAUCAGAACUACUUUGCAGACUGGGAAGCCCUAUUUUGUUGAGAUAUAGGAAGAACUUUGUUAUAAUAUCUACACCAUGUAUGAAAAUUCUUACGAAAAGGAUCAGUAUUCAUCUAAACCUUUGUGCACUCCCACACACAAAGAAGGCCCUGUGGCAAUCAGAGUCCAAAGUCAACUACAGAGGAGGAUUACUCCGCUCUAAGAGAUUAAACGAUUGCUCAUCUGAGAUUUCAUGUUUUAAGUUGAAAUCCUAUGCUUAAUAAGCUCUACGCAUACAGAUAAAAUUAAAGAAUUAUAUGACAGCAACUAAGACUGGAAAACUCACAUUUUGGAUUAUCUUAUUAGACAAUUUAGCUGGAAGAUACCUUGCAGAGGUUGUCAUCACUUCCAGAGAAAAUAAGAUGGCCACUUUCAUCAGCAAAACAUACUGUAUUAACGUCAGACUGCAGCGAGAAGGAACAGAUAGUAUUAAGUGUGGUCAAACUAAAUGUCUUUGCAAGUAUAAACAGACAGAAUAAAGUGGAGGGUGGGUGCACAUUGAUAAACAUUAUUUAACAUACUGCAAUGCAACCCAUAGGACAACACAUGCAAAGUUUUAUUGCAGCAAAAUCACUACCGUGUGCGCCGAUAUUCGAAGAGUUAGUUUGUUCGCUUCAAGAUCAUAUACAUAUAUUGCAUUAUCACUGCUUCCAGCUACGACUUCUCGUCCAUCUGUUGAAAAUUUCACAGAAAAUAUUCCAAAAGAGUAUCCCCCAUUAUCUUCAUCAGAAAAAUCCAAACCAUCAUGGAUCUCCUGGAUCAUAUGAACCCCAAUUAAGCAAUUGCUUUGAAGGAAGACAUGAACAAAGAAUAAAAGAAUUGCACUUAGAACACGUGUUGGAGAAAACCAGGAACCCCCACCCCCACCCCCAAAAAAAAUCGCCUUCCCAGAAACCUUUUACGCAUUCAUACAGGCCCGAAGAAUAUUUAUAACAACAAACCAUUAAGAGGCACACCCUUCCCCAGGAAACCAAGGAAAAAACAUGCACUAAUGCAUCCUACAACACAGGAUGCUACAGCCGAAGGACAUCAUAUAAAAAUCUGAAUUUUGACAAGAAGCGCAAAAUUAGAGCUCUUGACUAGAAAUGGAACUUAUGAGAAUCAGCCACUGGUGCAAUUUUAUGAUUAGAAUCAAGAAUUCAUUUCCUCAAUUAUCAAGUAUAGAAGGUGACCUUCAACCAGGAGAAACAUCAUAAAGGCAACAAAGUUUGCCGUACAAAAACUUGUUCAAACUUAGAAGCAAAAAAGUGCAAGAAAUAUGUGCCUAGGUGCAUGACUGAAUUCAGUAAUUUUUCUAAUCUCAGAAAGCCAUCACAUAUGUAAGCUACAUCAGCUUCAAGCUAAAAUGAAUUCGAACUUCAUACCGUCACAUUUGCCAGAGAUUCUGUUGUAGUAGAGCCAACAUUAACAAUGUGAACUAUAGGUGACAUGGUAGCAUAAGCCUGCAAUUAGAGUUGAUAUCCAAUAGGUAAAUAGAACUUUGAAAAUUAGACAAAUAUUUCAUGCCAAUAUGACAAUUUCUAGCACCCAACCAAGGACAUUUAAACAGAACCACAGAAGUCAAGAAAAUAAAAGGGCUUUCAGUCUCGAUUUAGAGAUAUACUUCAUCGAUACAACCAGGAUGUGUCUGAGGUAAUGGUCAUGUGCAACAAGAAGUUCAUCUAAAUGGUAGGAUCACAAUGUAACAAUAUUAUGGCACAGACAAAUAUGAACAUGCAGUCGCAGUUUUUAGCAGCGUAAAACUUACAAGAUUCCUUUGAUCUGGUGAAAGAGAUGUAUCAGUAACUGUCCAUCUCAAGCUUCUGGCAAGAAUGUUCUUUUGAACUUUCCACCCUCUUUCCACAUUGUAUAUUCGAAUGUGACUUCCCUGUUUUGUAAAAGAAAAAUACUUUCUUAGGAAAAUAUUUAUGCACAAAUAACAGUGCCAGAAAGCUCUAUUAAGAUAUGCAAGUUAACAUAAACAACAAUACAGAAGAAAGUUUUUUGUAACUUGGGAGAUCAAAAGAAGGUCCACUUGAACUAGGCAAUUAACAAGUACUCGACUCAGCCAGGACAAAGUUUCUUAAAUGCCAUAAGAAUCAAAAGGUUUCUUAAACAUUAAAAGGUUCUAUCUCUCCUGUUUCUUUUUCUUUACUAUUUUACAUGUGCUCCCGAUAAGAAUAUAGAUAUUGCUAUAGUUCUUCCUUCCAAUAUAACCAAAGGUUAACAAUCGCAUAUUCUCCACUGUAAGUUGAACCAGUAUUGUACAGGAAAAGACUACCUGAAAUGCCGCAACAAAAAGGGAGCCAUCAGCUGAAAAUUGCGACACAUAAGCCCUGGUGUUCAUCUGGUCCACAACCCAAGGACCAUUGACUGGCAAGUAUUUACUGAGAACAUGACAGCGAUCAGCUGUUGAAAAUCUCCCUCUACCUGAAAAAUUUGCCUCUCGACCAGCUAACAUCUUCAGAGUUGAAACAGAAGAUUCCCGUUUCCCAGGCAGUACUCGGCUUAAAUUCUCAUGGGGCCCUGACCUAAGCUUAGUGAGCUGAGCAAUUUCAUGGUCCAAAGAACUCAAUGGCCUUUUAUAUGCUGGACUGCCAACAACCUCAUAGCUGGAACUAAAACCCUCUAGAAGUUCCGAUUCAAGUUCCAAUCUGCUAAACCAGUGGCCCAUGUCGUUAAUGGCAGUCCCCUCAGAUAGAAAAUACAUUUGUAACUCAACGGUACCCCUGGAAGUUUUUGACAAAUAUCAGAUGCUGUCGAGUCUUCAUAGUAUCCCCAAUAGGGUCCUUGUUACCAUGCCAACUCUGCAAACAAUAAUGCCAACGACAACUCUGGCAAUAUUAUUAUAUAUUUCCAACAACACAAAUGAAUACAAGCUACACAUAAGAUUGACUUUGCAACAAUCUAUAUCCAGAGAAUGGGCAAUUAUGCAAUUUCAGAAUGACAACUCUCAUAUAUAUAUUCCAUUCAAUCGAGUAAAGUCAGACAAAGAUAGAGCGAUACUCGAAUCACGCGGAAGAUACACCAUCCUCAAUUAUGGGGUUCGUCCAGAAUCCUACUCAUUUCAACUAUAUCCAAGGUUCUUGACCGAAGUACGUCAAGAUUUCAGCUUUUUCUACAGCAAGCAAAAUUCUUCAAGGUACAGAUAAUUUUUUACUUACUACAGAGGACAAAUUUCGAAAAAGUAAAAGAAUUAUAAUUGAGAUUAACGAAGUUGGUUCCACUAAACAUCAAUCAUCAUCGAUAAAUAAAGUUGAAUGAAAGUCAACUUACUACUGAUUUGAAAAAAAAAAUAAAUAGAAAAGAUAUAAAAGUUCAUGACCACAAUCUUGUACAAUCACCUGGAUGUUGGGACUAUUACCCAAAACAGUCUCUCUCUCUCUCUCUAUCUUAUGCUAUGUCUUCUGGGUUUAUGACUUUUUAUUGUUUGGUUCGGCAACAGUGUCAAAGCUGGAUAAUGACCAGCAGGACAGGAAAAUGCUCCAGUGUAUUUGGAUGUCUUCACUUAUGGACUGAAUUAUCCAGCACCGCUAGCAGUGAAUUAGCAAAGGUUUCUUUUAGGAAUCGCACCAAGAAAAGUAGUAGUAAAUUAGUAGUACGGCAUAUGGAAAUACUAAUGAAUUGGUGGAAAGAGGCCGUGGGGGGCGGGUUGGUCGCUGUGAUGAGUGGUUGUUGAAGGUUGUGCUGGGUGGAAGCGUGGCGGACUCUAGUUCCUAGAAAUGUUACGGUGCAGUGCAGUCGGCCUUGGCUUGGACCCUCUUAUUUUUCAAUUUAGGAUAAUUUCAAAAGCCUCUUCCCUUCGCGUUUCGGUAAUUGCAGUAAAAUGACUAUAACAUUCGUCACUUGUGCAUAAUCUCAUAUCAUUAAAAAAAAAAAACAAAAAUCAUGCAAUCCAUUCCAAUCCUUGUAUCAUAUUUUCGGGCACUCUCUUUUAAAAAAAGAAAUGGGAGAAUUAUCGAAUUGAAAUUACCCUGUUACAAGUUGUGAGAGCAUAUAAAAAAAGCAUCGUAAUGAAAACACAAGUGUUGGCUAAAAAUCGAAAAGGAAUUGGAGGUUAUGCUAUCAUGCCAAUUUUGUGCAGAAAAAUAAGUUUUAGGGUAAUGAUGGAUGAUUUUGGGCUGUCAACAAAUUUGAGAAUAUGAGAAUUCGGUUUUAGUGGCUUGAUGAGCCGGUUAUUUUAUUUUAUUUUUUUUUUCAAUAUAGGGUAUAUCCCAACUUUUCCGAACUAAUCACCUGCACCUGAAGUACCUCACCCCCAAGAGUACCCAGACAUUAAGAGAGGUUCGAACCCUGGACCUUGGGAUCUGAAUGGCUACCCCAAGACCAGGUGAUCUAACCCCCGAGCGGCUUGAUGAGUCGGUUAGGGUGGUGAGAUUUGCCAUUUGUAAUAGUUACAACGAGGAUGAAAGAGAUGAGUGUUCAUUUUUCCCCCUAACAAUGGCGUAUUUUAUGAUUUUUAAGGAUAACUGUAGAUAGUUGGAUCUAUAUUGUUAUUAAAAUAGCAGAAGUAUGCGAGGUAAGUGUAAAUUUUAAAAUUAUAUAGUUAGAAACGUGAAAGGAAGGUUUCUAAAAUGAUUGCUUUUUAAUUUUAAUUAUGAUACACUAGUAUUUGUAGUUUUACCUUCCUCUCUCUUUCUUUUUGUUUAAUAACGGAAACCCUUGCCUUAGCUAAGAGUAGAUAUAUCUAGCUUUAGGGAACCCAAAAAAAAAAAAAAGAAAACUGCAACUUAUUAAUUACACAACUAGAUCAUGCAUCUGUAUAAAGAUGACUGUUAAUUAUCCCCUUUUUUUACUAACUAGAUGUAAUAUAAGUAAGUGAUAUUAAAGGGAGAAUGGAUUGCCAAUAUCAUCUCCUUUAUAACCUUAGUACAGUUAACCAAAAAUAGGGGGGAAAAAAAGACUGAUUACCUUCAGUAAUUAAACUUUUAAUCAAAUGGGGAACUCAAUUACUAUCUCGCUUUAGCAAUUUUCAGUUUGGCAUGUCCGUAGCAUUGUCAUAGCCAUUCUUUUAGGCACAAUGCAAACAACAUUUUCUUCCAGUGCGUGUUCAUAUACUACGUUGUGUGUUCGUAUGCCUAAAGUCUAAGGCUCUGUUUGGACUCAAGAGUUUUUCAAAUAUUAUUAAAAUUUUUAAAAAGUACUCUUAAAAGUAGUCUAAAUUUUUUUUAAUGUUUAAAAUAUAUUCCAAAAUAUAUUUUAAAAACUCUUCUACUCUUAAAUAUCCCAAAAUAUUUUUUAAAAUAUAUUAUAAAAAUUUUGCUAUAGUAAAAUUUUUCAAAAAUACCCUAAAAACAACUAAUCCAAACAGACCCUAAUACUUCAUUUAUCUAACAAAUUAAUUUUACAUGCCAAAGCUUCUUUUUUUAUUUUAAUGGUGUCAACCAUGUGAAAAUCAAAGUUGGCUCAUUAAAAUUUAGUGAAAAAUGCUAAUCACUCUUUUUUUUUUUUUCUUUUUUCCUUUUUUAAGGCAAACAAUGGAUGAGAUUUAAGAAUUUUUUGUCUAGUAGGCAGAGAACGUGAUUUAAGAAGUGAUGAGAGAAAAUGAGAGAAUUAAACCCAUGAUCUUUAAUUAUUGAGCCUUAAUCACCUUGUAACAUAUACAUAAUUCAACGUGCCACGCGUGAUAAGGAAGUAACUUAUGGCAUUAUUACCUACGUGUUUCUUGAUUAAUUGUUACCUUAACGUUUUGUUAUAGGAAAGUAACUGGCUAAAGAUAAAUUUAGAUUAAAGACAAAUACAGUAAAGGUGAUAUUUAAAUGUUGAAUGUGAAAUUCGAUAUAGUUUAUAAUUGGUGAUAUUUGUAUCAAACCUGAUCUUGCGUGCAUAGCAAUUGCAUGGAUUGAUUACAUUUAGCAAAUAUAUUGUUCAAUAUUUGGAUAUUUGCUAAUAAAAUAGAAAAAUAAUUUUUUUGCUUUGAGCAUUCUAAAAUCUUAACUAUUGAUUGGACAAAUUCUACGGACACUAAUGUUAACACUCAUAGGGGGUUCACGUUUAGCAAGUUUGAUGUUUUUCGUUGUCGUGUUCUUGACAAUGAGCACUAAAUGUUGGAUCAUCUGAUAUGGAUGUUUGCAGUUUUUACUUUUUACAGUUCUACGAAAUAAAAGUAAGGAAACGGGUUAAUAAUUGCAAUUUGAUUUAUAAAUUAAUUACAAUGACGGGAUUAGAUGUUCAAUAAUUAUUGACCAAGUUGUAUAUAUUGAAAUAGUUUAUCAAGUAUGUUAAACACCAAAAAAAAAAUAAUAAUUUCAGAAAAAAAAAGUAUGUUAAAAAUACAUUAUACCUCUCAUGCAUAUAGUUUGUAUUUAUUUAAGUUGAUAAAAUUUUCACCUCUUGAUUAAUGGUAUCAUUUACACAUAUACGUUCAUAAUUAAGGAUUAUACUACAUAUGACAUCAGACAAGUAUUCAGUAAAAUUGUACAGUGAUUACUUUAUACGCGAAUUGGUUUCGGAUUAGAAAUAGUUAAGUGGUUGAAAGUCUGAUACAUUUUUCGUGAUUAAUCAUUACCCAUCCGUUUUAUGGCAGGGGAGUAGUUUAUGGACCCGUUUAGUGAUUAUGCAUUUUAUAAACUCUUCUGUGUUAGUUUAGCAUUGUAAAAAAAAAAAAACAGUGAACAUGAACAUUUGGGCCAAAGUUGCAAGAAGCCCAAAUAAGUAAGAUCCGGGCUUUCAAUACCCCAAAAUUGCAGCAGUGCUCUUUAUCAUCCUCUUCUAUCGAGAAUCAUCUGCAGAACCAAGAAGAAACGACGGCGUCUGGCCGACGCAGCCCCACCGAAAUCCCAAGCACCAGCGAACAACUAUGAUCAGGGUGCGUGGGAAGUCCUGUAUUUCCGUUGAAGAACUAUGAAACGAGCUUGGAAAUUAUCAUCAGACGCAGCCCAAACGAGAGAUCGAUUCCUCCAGAGAAGAUACUCGGGCUCCCAUAACCCCCCUACAACGAGCCCUUCCUUGAACCCAUCAUCAUGUAAAACCCCUACUUCUGCUUCCAGGUUGCUUCGACAAUGUCCGCCCCAGACGCCAUCUACCACCUGCCAAAUCGUGUGGCCAAACAUCGCCCCUUUAUUCCUUAACAAAUGGCGCAGCCCAGGUGAUUCGACCGCCAAACAAGAUCAAAGAGACAGGGUCUCAGCAUUGAAAGAGGAGUUACUGAAGUACAGCGGCGAUGCGGAGAAUAUUGAGAGAGUUUUGGAAGAAAAAGGGGUGCCUUUGUUUCGGACUUAUUAUGAUGGCUCUGCUGUUAUUGAGCUCUUAAAGCAGUUGGCUUCCUCUCCUGAUUUUGCCCUUCAGGUCUACCCUUUUCCUUUGACUAACAUCUUUCUUUAAUGUUGUUUAUGCACCUGGGGAACUAUGAAUAUGCCUGUUGGCGUAGUUUUGUCAAAUUUUGUUCGUCUCUUUUAAUGAAUAAACGAAACCAGAUGAGGGUCUUAUGGCGAUACUCCCCGCUAGUUAGAUCUAUCAGCCAUCAAGAUGGUUGUUUCUUAGACUUCAAUGAAUGAGUAUGGAUAUGGUAAUUAAGAGUUCAGUGUUGAAUGCUGUCUUAUACUUGAAACUUGUGAAAUUGUUCCGUUUCAAUAGCAAGUCUACACAUCCCAUAGUACAAUAGAGAAUCCGGUCCCAUCUGAAUUUAGUGAAAAUGUUUGGACUUGACAAAAAGUCUAGACAUCCCACUGCAAAUUCCGGAGCCAUGCAAAACGUGCAGUUCUUACAGAAAGUCUCCACAUCUCAUUGUCCAAUUCAGAAUUUGGAGCUGUUUGAAUUUAGUGAUGAGUCUAAUCCACAUCUCAUUGUACUAGAUAUUUGCUUUCUUUAGUAUUAAUUCAAGUAAUGAAUGACAGCUAGGUUUAGUUGGAAACAAUAGUGUGUAUCUCUGUAUCAGUUUUGUGGAAUUUCUUUCUUUUUAGAUCUUCAAUUGGAGAAGGGAGCAAUUAGACCAUGGUGCACCUAUGACGAACGAGGAGUAUGCCACGGGCAUUACUUUGGCUGGAAGAUUGAAGGAUGUUGAUCUCGCAGCUGAGCUUUUUGCUGAAGCUGCCAACAAAAAACUUAAGGAAACCUCUCUGUACAAUGCACUUAUGAGUGCUUACAUGUACAAUGGUUUGGCUGCAAAAUGUCAGUUAGUUUUCUGGGAUUUGAGGCAGGAAGAAACAUGUAAGCCAACAAUUGUCACAUAUAACAUUCUCAUCUCAGUCUUUGGACGGUUGAUGCUGGUAGAUCACAUGGAGGCAACUUUACAAGAGAUCAAGGAUCUGAAUCUCUCCCCUAAUUUGAGCACAUACAAAAAUCUAAUUGCUGGAUAUAUUACUGCAUGGAUGUGGGACAAUAUGGAAAAGACCUAUAUGAUCAUGAAGGCAGAUGACGUGAAGCCCGACCUUUCUACCCAUUUGCUGAUGCUCCGAGGGUAUGCGCACUCUGGUGAGUUGAAAAAGAUGGAAGAGAUUUAUGAGCUGGUAAAAGAUCAUGUGAAUGAUAAGGAAAUUCCCUUGAUUAGAACUAUGAUAUGUGCGUACUGCAGGAGUUCUGUUUCAAAUAGGGUUAAAAAGAUCGAGGAAUUGUUGGUGUUGAUUCCAGAAAAUGAUUACAGACCUUGGUUGAAUGUGUUACUGAUUUGUCUGUAUGCAAAUGAGGAUUCACUGGAGCAAAUGGAAAAUUUAAUUAGUGAGGCAUUUGAGCAUAAUACUGCUGUCAGGACAACUGCAAUAAUGCGUUGCAUAGUUUCAAGUUAUUUCCGAAAUGAUGCAGUGGACAAGCUGGCUAAUUUUGUGAAACGCGCAGAAAGUGCUGGCUGGAGACUUUGCCGGUCUCUUUAUCACUGCAAAAUGGUUAUGUACUCAUCACAAAGGCGCCUUGCUGAGAUGGAGAUGGUUCUGGAUGAGAUGCGCCAAGUGAAUGUCUACUUUUCAAAAAAAACGUUUUGGAUACUGUACAAGGCCUACUCACAAUGGGGUCAAAAGUGUAAACUAAAGCAGGUUUUAGGAAUGAUGUGCAAACACGGUCAUUCUAUUCCUUUGAAUACAUGCAGUUCAUAGUGCAUCCUUCAAUUCAACAGUUUCAGUGUGCUGAAAGAAUAAUUUUGGUAACUGUAUUCUGCAGCUUCCAGUUAGACAGUCGAUGUGCCUAAGACACACACCCAGAAGUUCACCAAAGAAAAUUCCUUGGUUCCCUAGGUCAGCAACUAGAAUUUUAGGUUUCACUCUAAUCUGAAGACUGAUUUACUAUAUACCAGCAUUUUAGUUUUUCUCCUUCUCUCUCUCUCUCUCUCUCUCUCUCUCUCUCUCUCUCUCUUACCUUUUUUCCUCUGUGAAAGUCUGGCCUUCACCUUUUACAUUCUAAUGCUCAUGACUUGACAAAUUAGUUUUCUCCAAGACCCAUGAUUUUGUGGUAAAGUGUUUGUGUAUAUCAGGUCUAGAGGUAACGGAUGUUGUUCAAUGUAGAAGGAACAAUUGGUAAUGUUGUAUGUGAAUACGUUGGAGUGUCGUGCUACAUCGGUGUAUAGAAAUGUUCUUCAACACAUCUGAAACAAGGGGCCGAUUUUGCCAAAACAAAGAUUGAGGGAUAUUGUCUAGGUUUAGUAUUUUCUACUAUAACAUUUGGAUUUAAAUUUUGCUGCCACUCCAAUGUCGUGUUUGGUGUCGGUGCCAUGAAAUGUGUCAGCAACGAGGUAACGAGAUUUGGUUGAUGACAGAGUUGUUUUGACUGAUGUUUAGUGCGCUUUUCUUUUACUGCAUCAGAAACAUCUGUGGAUUAGUGCAAUGCAUCUUCAUUUUACAGUAUAGCCUGUUUGAUGAGGUGCACAACAUAGAUGGAUGGUGAAGUUUCUAGAAUGUAGGACAAACUCUGGGCAGCAAACAGCUGAAUGACAUGUCAAAUUUUGGUUUUGCAUACUCCUGCAAGGUGGCAAUUAGCCAACUAUGGGGGCAGGAUGACAACCAUUCCCGAAGGUUCAUGGGCUGGAUUUGCCAAAUCUUUAAAUUUGAAAAAAAAAAUUGUAAGUUUCAGAUCACACGGUGUACAUCGCCAUGUAUUGGGGACACAAAUAGGUGUUCUAUGUUUAUAUGUUGUGUUCAAACAAAAGUGAUUGACAUUGUUGAACAAACAACUCACAAUUUGACAUUGCUGUCCCUGCCCUUGACCCCAAUUGCCCUUUCUUUUCUGUUGGAAGGUUGAUUUGCAAGGGAAGCUAAACUCAUGCAUUCUUACUUUUUGGGGACGUAUGAAUGAUUGUGUUUAUUUUGUCAUGCAUAAUUGACUCUGCAGUCUGAUUUUUAUCCGCCAUAUGAUGACUGCCUAUUUCAAAAUAAAAUAUAUGGAAUCACACCAUUGUACUUGCGACUAGGGUGACAAUCGGGUUGGCAGAUCGGGUUGAGAUCCUCGUAUAACAGAAAACUUGUACCUGACCAGCGCAACCCGAAACGAGUCAGGAUAUUUGAUCCGAAUCCAAAAAUUUCGAAUUUGCGGAUUGGCGGGUCGAUCCGAAAUGACUUGAAACUUAAUUUUAAUUUAUUAAUUUACCAAUGUAAUUUCUAAUAAAAUCAAUUUUGUACAAGACUAAUUACAUAAUCAAGUAAUAAAAAUUUAAAUAAAUAAUUCCAAAUCAAAUCUAAAAUAAAUUGAAAAACACCGUAAAAGUGUUUUAUCCCAAACUAAAUAUAAAAUAAAUUAAAACAGUAUAAAAGUAAAAAAUAAUAUAAUACAUUAUUUAUCCAAAUAUAAUAAUUUUAACUUCACACAAGUUAAAUAAAUUCAUUUAGAAUUAAGUGAUUAAUGCCUUUGGAAAAAAAAACAAUAACUUAAUUUAGUUAGAUAAAAUACUUUUUAUAUUUAUUAAAUUAUUUUUAAUUCGUAAACUGGUUAUCGGGCCACUCAUGAAUUGGCCCGAAUUCGAUCCGUUUUCUUUUCGAGUUCAUCGGGUUCGACCCGAUUCUGACCCCAACCCACGAAACCUCAAUCCAAGCUCAUUAAUUUGGUGUUAGGUUCGUGUCGUGUUUUCAGGUCACGUCGGAAAUUGCCAUCCCCUACUUGCGACAGCCGAUAUUUCUGCUGAAUUGUGUUGAAAUUGGCUUUGAUCGAGGCAUGUAUGGAUGGACAUUGGACAGUGACCUAUCUCACCAGAACCUUAAAAAAGAUUCGGCUGCUUGUAUCCAUAGUAUCGCCUGACAACAACAUUAAAAUGCUUAUAUGAUUAUUGCCACCAGCGUCUUGAUGCUGUCCGAACUCAAGAAGUCUGUCUGAACUCAGAAGUCUAUGGUUUGGGUCCGUUCUACUUGGAAGUCUAGUCUUCUACGGCGGGCGGGCGGGCUUUCGAAAGCACAACGGACGGGAUGCACCAUGUUUGUAUGCACAUUGUACAGGGGGAUAUGAGAAAGUGUGUAUUGUAUCGGGGAAAAUGUACGAGUUCCGUGGAUGAUGGGGGGUUGUCCCGCGUCCGUCUCCCUCAUGCGGUGUGUGGUCUGGUCUGGUCUGGUCUGGUGGGGUGAUCUCACGAAAUCGUACGUGCGUCUCUACUAAAAGUCCCUUCCUUGUCACUCUUGCCUGCCAAGCAAAGAGAAAAAAUGGCAUGAGAGUGAGUUUUUUUACCGCUUUGGUCGGUGUAAAAAUUCUGGUGGAUGCAGAGCCUGCAGCCUCAGUAGGCUCCAAAUCAAAAUCAUUUCGAAGGACCGAGUUCAAAAAAAGAUCAAAGGCCAAUUGGCAAUUUUGGCAGUUGCUUAAUCGGUGCAAACCGAACAAAACGUAGUGGAAGCAAGCAAAGAGGGAGAGUACCAAUAGAUGAAACUAGGAAAAAGGACAUGCUGGAUUUCUAGUUUUUUCUUCUGUCUUUAAAACAGAACAUAAAUACCAUGAGGUUGCAGUAGGCAACAGUAGUGGUUCCACAAGAGUAGCCGCCGCCGCCGCCACCACCAUUACGUCGUCCGUCGGACACAUAAUAAUAAUAAUAACACGUUUCGUUAUGAAAGUAAUAAUAAGGAGGAUCGGAUCUGGGCGGUGGUUGAAGCACAAGGACGCUGAUGGCAUCGAUCACUUUUCGCUUCGAAACCGGCAAAUGAAAUGGUAGACAUGCGUUGAGGAUUGGUCGGAUAUUAAAUGCCUCAACUCUCAACUGGACAUAUUACAUCCGACAUUACUAUAUAUAUAUUGUUUCUCAACUUUUGGACAAAAAAAUUUGUCGUCGAUUGAUUGCCAGUCUGAAUUGUACUGUACCACAAUAGUUUCGCAGGAGUAGUAAAUAUCAAGAGCUCGUUCGUUUUCACUUAUCAUCAUUUUUGAGGUUUUCAACUUUUCUUCUGAGCGUAGUGGCAUUGAUGUGAUGAUUGAAAUAGCGAUGCGCCAAAUUCACUGAUCGCCAUUGCUGAUAGAUAUGAUCCUACUACUUAAACAAUCAAGCUUCUGCUUUUAUUAUUAAAGAAAAAUUUUUUAACAGCUCAAAGACGACAACAAAAAACUACUAUUAUCAAAAAAAAAAAAGACAAGACUCAACAUGUCAGUCAACAGGAGCCUUCCUACUACUUACACUAUUUUUUUUUUUUUAAAAAAAAUACUACUAUUAUCAAAAAAAAGAAAUACUACUAAUAUAUAAAGAAAAACAUGUGAACAUAAAACUCAAGCCAAAAGCCUCAGCGGACAUCCCACUUAACAUAUACUAUAGUAAGUAGUCUAUAAAUUAUUGGCCUCUCACCCACCCAGAGCUACUGACAAACAAAUUAAACCAAAAAAAAAAAAAGGUUAAUUGUCUAUGGAUCGCUGGCGCUUAUUAAAAUUAAAAUUUUUGUUUUAAAAAAAAAAAGAGGCCAAUGCCAUUUCCAUUGAAAAUGACUUCAUCUUGUCGUGCUAAUAAAACCACAUUUGCAAACGCUAAACCAGCUGCUAAUCCACAAAACAACAGCCCCAUCAUACUUACAUUACGUGUCCGACGAGACGACAAAUAGUGCAGCUUAAUUGACCCACCAUUAAAUUAAUUUUAGAGUUUCUCUGUACUUUUAUGCCCUCAUCUGAGUUAAAUGCAGUGUAUUUUCACCCCAUUAUGCUAUGCGCUUGCUUUUAUCAUUUGCCGGAGCCAUUAAUUAUCCUCAUGCAACGAAACCCAACUGAAAUGAUUACGUUGGUGAGGGACAGACAGACAGACAGACAGACAAAAUGCACAACUAAGCGUAUACUCACUCCUCUUUUUUAUAACUGACGUAUAAGAAAUUGUACUUUUAUCUAUCGUUUUAUUAUUCCCAUACAAUAUUAAUUAUUUUUUCACAAUUUUAUCCUUUUAUCUCUCUUUUCUAAUACAGGGUUCUUAAUUACUACUCCUAGUAAUUAUUACUUCUCUCUUUGUAACAACCCUAGUAAUUAAUGAGAAUACAAAAGGAAAGUAGUGUACAGAUUUAAGUAAUGCAAAGCUUUUCUUAAUUGGUGUGCAAAACCUUAAACGUCAGUUAUAAAAAAAGAGGGAGGGGGUAGUUUUUUUUUUUUUUUUUUGGGAAAACAACAAAGACCUAAAAAGUCAAGAUAGGGUGGUAAGAUAAUUAAUUGUACUCUUCGUAACUUUGUGUGUCAUUUUUCAACCUUUAGGCCUUUUUUUUUUGUUCUUUUGAAAGCAACCUUUAGGCUUUUUUUUUCUUUUUUUUUUUUUUGAAAGCAACCUUUAGGCUUUAGUGCCAUUGAAACACUUACUGGCAUCAGAAAAGCAAUCCAAAAUAGAUAAAUAAAAUUAAAAAAUUGAAAUAAUAAUAAUAAAAGAUGAUAAAAGAAAAUGGAAGGGAUAGGUUGGGGAACUAAGGAGGCGCAAGAUCCGUCCAUUAGGUGUUGUUGUAUACUUGUAUCAUGUACGUGUGGUGAAUUUUCAUUAUAAAAGUGGUCCCGUCGGAGAGAGCGAGAGGGUUUAAAAAAGGGAAGAAAAAAAAAAAGUGUCCUAGCAAAAUUCCCAGCCACCAGUGGAGUGGGAAUGUGGGAUGAGAGCUUGCUUUCCUUCCAUCCAUCAAAAACAAAAGCUAAUUCCCGUCAUUUGCUAUUUAUCCCAAACUCCAAACCCACAUCUACGUCUGAAGACCAGAGCACCAACAAGAAGAACAAAGCAAUCGAGUGCUGACAAGGAGCUUUUAACCAGAACCAAUGUCCACGUUUGGGCGAGGUCCAUGAUUCCCACUCCUGUCCCUUUGAGCCAUAUUUGUAAGAUGUCCUUUUGGCUUUUGGUGGACGGGGUUUAGUCUUCUUAGCUUUCGGAUGACAACGGGAUUUUCAUCUCCAUUUAUGGUCCACCAUCUAUGAUCUAACCCAAAAAAAAAAAAAAAAAAUCCACCACCUGUCGCGCGUCCUUUCCUCCAUUUUCAAUUCUACCCAUCGGCGAUGACCCAUAAAUAUAUGCACACGCUUCACUUGGAAACAAAAAAUGACACACAAAGGACGACAUGCAGAAUCCCAACUGGUGAGUUUAUUUUCUUGCCAUGUUAGAAGGGCUCCUCUGCUCCCUUAAGAGACAGAUUAUACUGUGGAUCAGAGCUUAGAAUCAGUUGACAUAACUUGAGAAUUCAACUCACGGCCCAGAUCAAGCUUUUCCCAGUCACCUUUCAACUCGCUUCCCACUUCAGUAGCGUACAAACUUUUCCCUGCUAACCUUUUUUAACACUCAUGGUCGGAAAUGGGGCAGGGACGGUUGCAGGAGGGUUAAUGGCCAUGAUUUGGCCUCAAAAUUUUGUGUGAUUGAGAUUACAAGUUGUAACUCGAUUUUCGCGCUAUGUGUGGACCUCACAAAAAUUUACUCUAAAGUUACGCAAUGUGCAAAAAAAGUUACACGAUGUACAAAAAAAAUUACGUACAGUUGAUAAUGAUCAAAACUGCUGCAACCGUCCGUGCCCCGAGUCCCUCAUGGUCUGUCCAUCUAAUCGUAAGAGGAGAAAUAAAGAAGGUGCCGCUUGACGAGGAAAACAAUCAAAUAUAAUCAUCUGCAGCAGCCUUGCUCCCAAUCUAAGGGCGGUUCUCUCUUCAAAAGUACACGACGUUGUUAAGAAGAUCUCAAGUCUGAACGAUUGAUUGAUGCUUCCAUGGACAAAAAUCCCAUGCAACAUGCCAGUUCAAAAGAUUGCCCGAGCAAACAUCUGCAAAAUUCUCAUGUGCGCCCGAAUCCAAGUGAACGAAUGCAGGCAGUUCCGUGAAAAUUUUGAACAGAGCAAUAAAAAAUUUCCAAGGACUAAACGAUCCAAAACAGUUCAUGGUUGACUUCAAACAGCUUCAAUGCGAGUCAGGAUUAGUUAAAAGCACUAAUGAUCAUUAGCAAAAUUAGAAUUCUCACCGUGGAGACGAUUACUUACAAUUAAAGUCGACAUAGUAUAGACAUAGCCUGGGCUUCAUAGCAGUAAAUCCCGUAGAAGAGAGUAAACAAACAAAAUCUUAAUAUAUAUCUCUACCGAACAGUAUAUAACAUACAGGUUUACAGCCCCAUGAAUUUGCAAUCAUACUCUGAAAUUAGACUUUCUGCUAAUGGCGACGCGCUGAUGUCACCUGAGUGACCAGCAACCAUUAACCUGAGUCCUACAUCCUCCUCCUUCGUGGCCAGAGGUUUUAUAUGGAUGUGGUAAAGCUUGAGCCGAAGACCUUAUGCAAAUCCACAAUA